GAUGAACGCUAGCGGCAGGCUUAAUACAUGCAAGUCGAGGGGCAGCAGGAAUAGCAAUAUUUGCUGGCGACCGGCGCACGGGUGCGUAACACGUAUACAAUCUGCCUUUAACAGGGGGAUAGCCCGGAGAAAUCCGGAUUACUACCCCAUAACAAUAGAACAAGCAUUUGUUUUAUUUAAAAGAUCCGGCGGUUAAAGAUGAGUAUGCGUCUGAUUAGCUAGUUGGUGAGGUAACGGCUCACCAAGGCGACGAUCAGUAGGGGAUCUGAGAGGAUUAACCCCCACACGGAUACUGAGACACGGAUCCGACUCCUACGGGAGGCAGCAGUAAGGAAUAUUGGACAAUGCCCGCAAGGGUGAUCCAGCCAUGCCGCGUGCAGGAAGACGGCCCUAUGGGUUGUAAACUGCUUUUGUACCGGAGAAAACCUCCCCUCGUGAGGGGAGCUGAUAGUAUGGUAAGAAUAAGCAUCGGCUAACUUCGUGCCAGCAGCCGCGGUAAUAC
rnacentral:rRNA from 1 species